CUCAAUUUCCUCACUUAUUUCCAUUUUAAUAUAUAGUACUGGUAUUUUUAUAUGCUAUCAAUCGCUUUGUAAUAAAACAGAAAUAAUUUUUAAAAGUAUCACAUUUAAGAUGUAUUAGAAACCACUAACAGAGCAAUUGGGAAAGAUGGAAUAGAGCACUAGACUUGGGCUCAGGUUCUAGCACCACAAUUUUCCAAUUCAGGGCCAAAACUUUGGCCUCUCUCAAGAGACUAUUUUUCUCAUAUACUCUAAGAUCUUAAUGCUGAUUAAGUCAUGUUAUAUUUGGGAAAGUAUAUGGCAUAAACUAGAAAGAUAAUUACAUAUUAGUUGAAUCUAUAUCAGGUUUUCAUAGGUUAGGGAAAAUAUAUUGUGGUUUUUCUUCCUUUUUAAAUCUGUUAUUCCUGUGACCGAAUUGUUACAGUUUGGUGCAUUCACUAGGAAUGAGUCUAGGCAUUCUGGAUUUUGAGCAUUUGUGAAAAAUCUAAUGAAUGCCACAUCGGUGCUGUGCCCAGAGAGCUUCCUCUAGAGAAGGCUUAUUCCUUGAACUUCCAUGUUGCAUCAGUGCCAGUAGACAGAACCUAUGACAAGAGGAAGCCUUCUCCAAGCCUCCAAAGCAGCACCCUGAAACAUAUAUUCUUAUAGACUUUGUGCUAUAUAGUAUUGAUUUGUCAUGGUUUUCCUUCAAAAGCCAUUUUAUUCUUAACACAAUUAAACAACAGUGCAAUUGUGAGAAUAUAACUAUACUCCCUGUAUUUCUUGUUACAAAUGGGCCUUUCCCUGAGGUGGGUCUAGGCUCUUUUAUGGAGACCUGUCAUCUUCAUGUUGGCCUUUGUUCUGAGCCAGCUUUUUCUAAAGACUGGAACUUCCUUCAGUCUGUUUCAUAUCCAAGCCAAAAAACUCUGUACCCAUGAACUCUAUUAAUGAAGCUGUAUUAUACUGUGAUUGGAAACCUUUUUGGGAGUUCCCUUGUGGCUCAGCAGAAACUAAUCUGACUAGCAUCCUUCAGAAUGCAGGUUCACUCCUUGGCCCCGCUCAGUGGAUUAAGGAUCCGGCUUUGCUGUGAACUGUGGUGUAGAUCACAGAUGGGGCUCAGAUCCUCCGUUGGUGUGGCUAUGGCGUAGGCCUGCAGCUAUAGCUCCAAUUUGACCCUUAUUCUGGGAACCUCCACAUGCCAUGGGUGUGGCCCUAAAAAGACAAAAAAAAACAAAAAGAGAGAGAGAGAGAGAGAAUUGAAGCAUGCUCGUGUUGGGAGAUGGUGCCGUGCUAAUAAUACUUCCUACAAGUACUGUAUAUGUGAAUAAGGUAUUAUGUUGUGGAACUCAAAUGAAAACUCUGCGGAUUAUGUAAAAACUAUGUUAACAAUAUCUUUAAGUUAUUUGAGAAAAUGAGGAGACCUAGAUCACAGCCCUUAUAUCACUGUUAUGACCUUCAUUUGGCAAGUCACCCUUUUAGAUCUGUUUGCUUGAAAAUGAAGUAACAUCUGGGAAAUUGCUAAGGCUUUUUCCAGUGUAAAUUUCUAUUACUCUUUUUAUUAAAAUUUGAGGUGAUAAAAACUUGGUCAUACUGUACAUAAAUGAUUGUUUUACUCAAGAGUUAUUAAUAGUGUAUAAUUUUACAUUGCAGACUUGUCUUCUAAAAAUAGACAAAAGUAUAAUUGUAUUUUUCCCUAAGUGUUUAUUGCUUUAUAUGCUGUAUUUCUUGAUCAGACUUCUUCAUUUUGAGAAGGAAAAUAUUUUUCUAAGGAGAAUCUCUUAUCCUUUUUAUUUCCUACUAGCUCUUCCCCACCCCCACCACCCAAAGAUAACCUCCUCCUGCAUCCAUACUUGAAAAGUAAGUCUCGGAGUUCCCAUCAUGGCUCAGUGGUUAACGAAUCUGACUAGGAACCAUGAGGUUGCGGGUUCAAUCCCUGGCCUUGCUCAGUGGGUUAGGGAUCUGGUGUUGCAGUGAGCUGUGGAGUAGGUCACGGACGUGGCUCGGAUCCCUGGGUUGCUGUGGCUGUGGUGUAGGCCGAUGGCUACAGCUCCAAUUUGGCCCGUAGCCUGUGAACCUCCAUAUGCCGCGGGAGUGGCCCAAGAAAUGGCAAAAAGACAAAAAGACAAAAAAAAAAAACCAAUGCUUGGCAACUGUGUUGUAAAAAUAUAAUUCAGAGGGAGUAAAUUCAUGCAAAACUGUCACAAAUAGUAUGAUUUAUAGCAUAGCACAGUCAAAAGGGAAAUGUCAUUUCUUCACUUUCAUACACACAUGCGUGCAUACACACACGCGGACACACACACACACACACACACACACACUUGCUUUCCACUAUUUUUGCCUCUGUUCUCCUUAAAAAAAACAUUUACAGGAGUUCCCAUCAUGAUUCAGUGGUUAAUGAAUCUGACUAGCAUCCAUGAGUACAAAGGUUCAAUCCCUGGCCUUGCUCAGUGGGUUAAGGAUCUGAUGUUGCCAUGAGCUGUGGUGUGGGUUGUAGACAUGGCUUGGAUCCUGCAUUGCUGUGGCUGUGGCUGGCAGCUACAGCUUCGAUUUAACCCCUAGCCUGUGGACCUCCAUAUGCCACCAGUGCAGCCCUAAAAAGACCAAAAAAAAAAAAAAAAAAA
rnacentral:lncRNA from 1 species